rnacentral:lncRNA from 1 species
GCCUGACAAAGAGUGCAGAACAACAUUUGUGGAAGAGAUAGAAAGAAAACAUUUUGUUUCAAGAGCAGUGCACUCAUACGGUAUGAUAGAGUAAAAUAAUGGAAAAUUUCCAGAAAUCUUGGAAACCACUAAUAAGGACCAGUGCUGGUUCAUAGGGCAUUACAGAGAGAUGUAAGAAAGGUCCCAAAACAGGAAAUGGCUCACAUUUCUACAGCUCUAUGUGGAGAUAACUGGAUUCAUGAGAAAUAAUAAUAAAGCUAUAUUUGUAGGCUGUGUAAACUAGUGGAAUUUCAGAGCCUCUUAUAUCUGGAUGUGGGCCUCCUGUACCUCCCUCUAGGGUACCCCCUAGCCAUCCUAAUUGAUGCAAAACCCAUUAAGCCAUAAUUGCUGUGUAGCCUGGUACUCGAGAUGAUGCUUGCUUGUGCACCCAGAAGCAAUUCUGGUCCUCACCAAUGCUCCCAUCUGCAUGGAGAAAAUAAUUUCUUGGCCACCCCAUGCUGAGCAGAACCUAGGAUCUGAAAUUAGGGUUAACGUCACCAGCAUGCAGCACUCUGAUUUCAUUCAUCAGCUACCUGCUCGAGGAAUCUGACAAUGUUAUGGGGCAAUUUUGUUCUUGGCACAUUUAAGCGGCACAAGGGGGCAUAGGGGACUCCACCAAGGCAGUAAUUUCCUAGGUAAUCAUUCUAAUGUCUUCAUCCUGAGUGCAUUUGUACGGCUGAGUUAAUUAGGGGAGUUAAUUUUCACAAAUGGCACAAAAAUGCCCAUUUGCUGGUAACACUGCCUCGUGCCAAUGCCUGGCUGAAGGUAACCAGGAUAGAUAAGUUGAUGCUCUGCAUCUAUCACUGCUGCUAGCUUGGACCAGAAAGGACCACAGCUGCUGGCUUGGCAGAUGUGACCAGAAUUGGAGUUUUCUAAAGGUUGUAGGAAAGAUAUUCUAAGCUGUCACUAACAGCUAAACAACAUGGUAGAUGCCUCUGUCUAUCUGCUUAGCCAGACUUUCAAUCCAUGCAGAACACAGAGGCUGCUACAGGACCUGUCAGAAAAGGUCCACACAUCGCUAAGUCAAGUCAGUCAUGGUCUCCGGAUGCCUCAAUGUUUGUUGGGCCAAGACUCUCUGUUGAAGGCUCUAAGUUAGUGGUAGGAUCACAUCUUACAGUCAAUGGAAUCUUGGGCUCUGGAAAUAGAAUCCAGGUCACCAAGCAUGUAUGACAAUCACGUUUACCCACUGAACUGCCUCCCUCUUUCUCUUCUUUAUUCCAUCUAGGACAUCAGCUCAGGAAUGGUGUUCCCCACAUUUAGGGUAGGUCUUCCCCCUCAGUUAAUCCUCUCUAGAAAUAUCCUCAGAAACACAAAGUGUGUUUGGAUAAUAUCUUACGUACUCUUAGCCCAAUGAAGCUGACAAUCAAAAUUAGUCAUUAAAACCCCUACUGAGUUCUUCCACUGUAUUUAAAUUUCUAUCUUGCCGAGUUAAUUUAUUUCGGAAGUUUAAGUACAAAUGUCUUUCUCAAAGGACCAAGUAUUUUAUAAAUAGCACCUUGGAUGUACCAGACAUUGAUAAACACCACUUCCUUUCUGCUACAUCUGGAAUCUUACACACUGAAGUUAUAAGAAGGCCCCCAGCCUCAUUUCUAGAUUUUGAUGGGCUGUCUUGCUAGAAAGAAGCAUCCACUCCUGCCACUUCUAGAAGCUGAAGGUGGGCAAGAUGAUUAGGAAUUGGCAUUAGCUGGUGCAGAUCUGGCAGGACUGUUUGCUAAUCCAUUCUACCUUCAUGCAAGGAAAAUACACGUUCAUCAGAGCACAGUCCUGGCAACUGUCUGCACACAUGCUGGAGGAGAGGAGGACGAUCACCUGGCAGAGAUAAUCAGAAGCCAGAUGUAUCUUGUCAAAUGCAAGUUCCUCUAAGAAUGCCAGCACUCUGAGAAGUGCUCUGAAUUGCAGGUCCUUCCUCAUAACUGCAGCAGGCACCUGCCAGUCUUCCUUCUUGUACAGUUAUCCUUUCCUCCACCAACAUUUGAGAACUCACCAACUUUAAAAGGACAAACAGUACCUAGAAUAGGUGCUCAGGAAAUACCACUCUUCUGUGUAAGGAUAAGCCUUGGAAAGGAUAAAAUAAAAUAUUGGACACUAGCCCAGAGGGCCAACAGAAUAAAUGCAAAUAUGCAACCUUGAGUGAUGGGAGGGGGGAGCCUCUAGAAAGUACCAGAGACCUGGGACGUGAGAGACUCUCAGGACUCAAAGGAGGGGACCUUAGAUGAAGUGCCCAACAGUGGGUAGAGGGAACUUGUAGAGUACACCUCCAGUAGAAAGACCUCAAGUGGAGGGAUGGGGUUGACGUUGACAUCCCACAGUCAAAAACUGACCAAAAUUGUUCCUGUCUAAAAGAACUACAGGGACAAAAAUGGAAAAGAGACUGAGGGACAGGCAGUCCAGUGACUGACCCAACUUAGGAUCCAUCUCAAGGAGAGGCUCCAAGACCUGACACUAUUACUGGUGCUAUGCUAUGCUUGCAGACAGGAGCCUAGCAUGGCUGUCCUCUGAGAGGCUCAACAAGCAGCUGACUGAGAUAGAUACAUAUACUUAUGCCCAACCAAUGGAAUGAAGUCAGGGACCCCUGUAGUUGAAUUAGAGAAAGACUGGAAGAAGCUGAGGAGGAGGGUGACCCCAUAGGAAGACCAGCAGUCCCAAUUAACCUGGAACUCUGAGAUCUCUCAGACACUGAGCCACCAACCAGGCCCCAUACACUAGCUGGUUUGAGGCCUUUGACACAUAUAACAUCAGAGGACUGUGGGAGCAGAUGCACCUAACCCUGUAGAGACUUGAGGCCCUAGGGAGUAGGGAGACCUGGCAGGGGAGUGGGGGAGACAUCCUCUUGGAGACAGUGGGGAGGAACAGUGGGAUGAGGAACUGUGGGAGGGCAGACCAGGGAGGGGAGUAAUGAUUGAACUGU